AGAGUUUGAUCAUGGCUCAGGACGAACGCUGGCGGCGUGCCUAAUACAUGCAAGUCGAACGCUUCUUUUCCCACCGGAGCUUGCUCCACCGGGAAAAGAGGAGUGGCGAACGGGUGAGUAACACGUGGGUAACCUGCCCAUCAGAAGGGGAUAACACUUGGAAACAGGUGCUAAUACCGUAUAACAAUCGAAACCGCAUGGUUUCGUUUUGAAAGGCGCUUUACGGUGCCGCUGAUGGAUGGACCCGCGGUGCAUUAGCUAGUUGGUGAGGUAACGGCUCACCAAGGCCACGAUGCAUAGCCGACCUGAGAGGGUGAUCGGCCACAUUGGGACUGAGACACGGCCCAAACUCCUACGGGAGGCAGCAGUAGGGAAUCUUCGGCAAUGGACGAAAGUCUGACCGAGCAACGCCGCGUGAGUGAAGAAGGUUUUCGGAUCGUAAAACUCUGUUGUUAGAGAAGAACAAGGGUGAGAGUAACUGUUCACCCCUUGACGGUAUCUAACCAGAAAGCCACGGCUAACUACGUGCCAGCAGCCGCGGUAAUACGUAGGUGGCAAGCGUUGUCCGGAUUUAUUGGGCGUAAAGCGAGCGCAGGCGGUUUCUUAAGUCUGAUGUGAAAGCCCCCGGCUCAACCGGGGAGGGUCAUUGGAAACUGGGAGACUUGAGUGCAGAAGAGGAGAGUGGAAUUCCAUGUGUAGCGGUGAAAUGCGUAGAUAUAUGGAGGAACACCAGUGGCGAAGGCGGCUCUCUGGUCUGUAACUGACGCUGAGGCUCGAAAGCGUGGGGAGCAAACAGGAUUAGAUACCCUGGUAGUCCACGCCGUAAACGAUGAGUGCUAAGUGUUGGAGGGUUUCCGCCCUUCAGUGCUGCAGCUAACGCAUUAAGCACUCCGCCUGGGGAGUACGACCGCAAGGUUGAAACUCAAAGGAAUUGACGGGGGCCCGCACAAGCGGUGGAGCAUGUGGUUUAAUUCGAAGCAACGCGAAGAACCUUACCAGGUCUUGACAUCCUUUGACCACUCUAGAGAUAGAGCUUCCCCUUCGGGGGCAAAGUGACAGGUGGUGCAUGGUUGUCGUCAGCUCGUGUCGUGAGAUGUUGGGUUAAGUCCCGCAACGAGCGCAACCCUUAUUGUUAGUUGCCAUCAUUUAGUUGGGCACUCUAGCAAGACUGCCGGUGACAAACCGGAGGAAGGUGGGGAUGACGUCAAAUCAUCAUGCCCCUUAUGACCUGGGCUACACACGUGCUACAAUGGGAAGUACAACGAGUCGCGAAGUCGCGAGGCUAAGCUAAUCUCUUAAAGCUUCUCUCAGUUCGGAUUGUAGGCUGCAACUCGCCUACAUGAAGCCGGAAUCGCUAGUAAUCGCGGAUCAGCACGCCGCGGUGAAUACGUUCCCGGGCCUUGUACACACCGCCCGUCACACCACGAGAGUUUGUAACACCCGAAGUCGGUGAGGUAACCUUUUUGGAGCCAGCCGCCUAAGGUG
rnacentral:rRNA from 1 species